rnacentral:rRNA from 1 species
AUUGAACGCUGGCGGCAGGCCUAACACAUGCAAGUCGAACGGUAACAGGAAGACGCUUGCUUCUUUGCUGACGAGUGGCGGACGGGUGUGUAAUGUCUGGGAAACUGCCUGAUGGCGGGGGAUAACUACUGGAAACGGUAGCUAAUACCGCAUAACGUCUCAAGACCAAAGAGGGGGACCUUCGGGCCUCUUGCCAUCGGAUGUGCCCAGAUGGGAUUAUCUAGUAGGUGGGGUAACGGCUCACCUAGGCGACGAUCCCUAGCUGGUCUGAGAGGAUGACCAGCCACACUGGAACUGAGACACGGUCCAGACUCCUACGGGAGGCAGCAGUGGGGAAUAUUGCACAAUGGGCGCAAGCCUGAUGCAGCCAUGCCGCGUGUAUGAAGAAGGCCUUCGGGUUGUAAAGUACUUUCAGCGGGGAGGAAGGGAGUAAAGUUAAUACCUUUGCUCAUUGACGUUACCCGCAGAAGAAGCACCGGCUAACUCCGUG